ACUUUGGAACACCCACUUCUGAGGUGGGUGUUCUAUAUCUUGAUUGUGGUAGUGAUGGUUACUCAAGUCUAUGCAGUCGUUAAAAUCUAUCAAAUUAUACACUUAAAACUGGUGAAUUUUACUCUAUGUAAAUUAUACCUCACUAAAGCUGAUUUUUAAACAAUUCUUGCAAUGUUUCGCAUUUCCCUCAGCGUGAAUGACUCUGUAAGCCAACAGGCCCUUCAGGAUCUGAACCCACCACCACCCUCUCUCUGACCUUAUCCCUGGUCACUCUCCUUACACUUUGCUGCAGCUAACAGAGCCUCCUAGAUAUGAAGUCUUCUCAGACUGUGCAGAGAUGGUUCUUGCCAUGUUGUGCUGGCUGGACUCGAACUCCUGGAUUCAAGCAAUCCUCCUGCGGACUCAGAUGAUCCUUCUGCCUCAGCUUCCUGAGUAGCUGGGGUAAAGCUUAUAAAGUAAAAACUUUGAUAUCCCCAGCAGAAUCAUAACUUUUCACAGAGGCAUCUAAUUUCUUAACCUUAAAGCAGAAGAGAAACGUCUUUCAAAUUUUCCUAUGACGGUCAAGGAGUGGGGGUUGUGGAAUGUAUAUACUUAGAUGAAUUAAACUCAGACCUUCUCCGGUUGGAUGUUUGAGCCGCCCAGACAAAGAUGAAGAUUAACACAGUUUAAGGAUGAAAUAUAGACCAUCCUGUGCAAAACCACCGUGUUGCAGUUUAAUUAAAAGAAUUCAUUAAAGUGGUGCCCCAUCCAGGGUAA
rnacentral:lncRNA from 1 species